UUGAAGGAGAAAACUUCUGGUGCGCGUAUUUUCAGUUCAUGCGCUGAAGAGACAGGAUUUCAUUAUGGAUCGCUUUAGUAUUAUCGAGCAUGGUGUGUAGAAGAAUCUAUAUGUCUCGCUCACGCAGACAUUGACAGGUAGUACGCCGUGGAAAACGAAGGCCCUGUACGUGUGUCCGAAGGAUGAUGGAGUUGUACUGUAGUACGGCGGUGUGAACUGGAGACUGGAGUUGAGGUGUCCCAUGUAACCUUCAUUUGACUUGGAGGAACAGCCUGAUCUUUUGUCGCCCGCAAAUCCAGCGUCAGUUUCGCUUUUGCACGUACGGUACGGUGUCCUUCAGUUUUUUCUUUUCCUUUCGGAGAAGUCCGGCAGGUAAACUGUUUGGCGUUUAUAUGUACCGAUACAGACGAAAGAACAGAGCAGGUUAACUUACAUGGCGGUAAAACAAGAAGAUUACAAGGGGGUCUGUUUCAGUCAGUACCGUGAUAAUCGUGGUAGUGCAGUUGUAUAUAUCUCGCGUGUCUCGGAAUAUACGGUGGGAUGGGUGGAUGGAGGAGCUAGCUGCAACUAGUACACUUACUUUGUUGCAUCACUCUCACUCACGACGGAUCGAGAUGAAGCGGACAAGACCCGUGAAUGUAUUUGGCCCAGGGAAAUGGCAGGAUAUUCUAUCAAAUCCUGGUUUUCCUUGGUCAGCACACGCACACAAUGAUUGGCCUCUUUUGCUCUCUCUCUCUCUCUCUCUCUCUCUCUCUCUCUCUCUCUCUCUCUCUCUCUCUCUCUCUCUCUCUUGGCACUUGCUGCUGUGCUGUGUGUGUACAUGACUCUAUCUCCAACUGCGAACUACUCCAAUACAGUAGUAAUACUCCUACUGUCCUGGUACGACACAACGCCCAUCAUCUGGAUUGGUGCCCAGCUCACAUGACGAUGUGCUAACUGGUGCAGUUCUGUUCCCAGUCAUCCCAUGAACAUUGUACGUCGUCAGGCAGAGGCACGUUUUCUAGUACGGAGGAGAAGUGGCGUAUUCCUGCAGAAGCCUCCUCUCAUGCCAAAAGCCCAAAACAGAGGGUGGAAAGACGACAAAGCCGGAACAAUCGUUCUGGCAAAAAAAAAAGCAAAACGCAGCAUAUUGCAAUUCACACUACUCUUUUUUUUUCUACAGUCAAAACCCCUGCACGUUUCUGGGUACCAAAACCAUUCAGUUCGUGUAGCACGUGGCUUUUUUUGACUGGCUCAGUAUGUGACCCAUGUUCGUCAAAGGAAACUCCUGCCUUUUUUCUCAGAAGUGAAAAGUGUCUUUUUUUUCUUUUUUGCUCCCAGGAAAAGCUAAGCGCUUGGAUUGGGGAGAAACGGAGAAAGCAAGAGUUCUUGGAGAGGGGAUGUAAGCAACUCACAUUUGAAUAUUUGUAUGCAGCACAUCUCAAUGCAUGUGAGGCUUGCCGAGUCGUCUCUCUUGACUGCAUGUGAGUUCUCUCUUACCGAGUCACCUUC